rnacentral:rRNA from 1 species
UACAGAGGGUGCAAGCGUUGUUCGGAAUUAUUGGGCGUAAAGCGCGUGUAGGCGGCUUUGCAAGUCGGGUGUGAAAGCCCUCGGCUCAACCGAGGAAGUGCGCCCGAAACUGCAGAGCUUGAGUACCGGAGAGGAUGGCGGAAUUCCCCAAGUAGAGGUGGAAUUCGUAGAUAUGGGGAGGAACACCGGUGGCGAAGGCGGCCAUCUGGACGGAUACUGACGCUGAGACGCGAAAGCGUGGGUAGCAAACGAGGA